CUCGCUUCUUGGCCUUUUGGCUAAAAUCAAGUGUAGUAUCUGUUCUUAUGAGUUUAAUAUCUGAUACAUCCUCUAACCGAGGACAAUAUAUUAAAUGGAUUUGGGGGAUUAGGAGAUGGACUAGGAGCUUGCUCCAUCCACUCCAUGCAUCGACCUGGUAUGGCAGUAUAUCUGGGAAUGGUGCACCAAAA